GAAUUGCAAUUUCAAAAACUUGAAAAACAGUAUAAAAAGUGGAAUAAAGAGCGGCAAUUAAUAAAAUCAAUUUCCUAUCAAAAAAUUAGGAAAAUGAGACAACAAGAGUACGAAAAUUAUCUCAAAUACUUCGAUCACAAGGAUAGCAAUUCAAAUUGUCAACGAGUGUUUUUACAUUCGGGUAAUAUUGAUGAAUAUAAUCCUUACAAAAUUCAUAACAAAAAUGACA